AAUAAAAUUAUGAAAAAGUUGAUAGAUGUCCUAACGUUGAAUUUUAAUGAUAAUUUUAAAUAAGUUAAAAAUAGAGUUUAAAAUUAGAUAGAAGAAAAUUAAUAAAAUUUUAAUAACUUUUACAAAUUAAGGCAGUUUUAUUAAAAUUUAAAAAAAUUAAUAAAAUUGCCAAGACACUGACAUUUUAUCCAUAGGCCUUAAAGUUCCAUAUAAGAACAAAACUAAAAUCACAACCAAAGUAGUGAAUAAUGAAACAGAUGGAAAAUUUUUCACUGUCUUCCUCUAAGACUAAGCACAUGUGGACCCUCGUUAGGUUUCCAUCCUAUCAUUCCAAGAAUCUAGACAUGCAUAAAAUAAUUCUUACCAACGUAAAUAUAUAUACUCAAUUAAUUAAUAAUUAUAAUUUUAAUUAAAAUUAUGAUAAAUCUAUAUAUA
rnacentral:misc_RNA from 1 species